AUUGAACGCUGGCGGCAGGCCUAACACAUGCAAGUCGAGCGAGAGGCGGACGGGUGAGUAAUGUAUGGGGACUGCCCGAUAGAGGGGGAUAACUACUGGAAACGGUGGCUAAUACCGCAUACUAUCGGAUAACCCAUAUGGGAUUAGCUAGUAGAAGGGGUAAAGGCUCACCUAGGCGACGAUCUCUAGCUAGUCUGAGGGGAUGAUCAGCCACACUGAGGCUGAGACAAAGCCCAGACGCCGACGGAGGCAGCAGUGGGGAAUAUUGCACAAUGGGCGCAAGCCGGAUGCAGCCAUGCCGCGUGUAUGAAGAAGGCCUUAGGGUUGGAAAGUACAUUCAGCGGGGAGGCGUGACCAGCAGAAGAAGCACCGGCUGACUCCGUGCCAGCAGCCGCGUAAUAC
rnacentral:rRNA from 1 species